UGGGGAAUAUUGGGCAAUGGGCGAAAGCCUGACCCAGCAACGCCGCGUGAGGGAAGAAGGGUUUCGGCUCGUAAACCUCUGUCCUAUGGGACGAAGGAAGUGACGGUACCAUAGGAGGAAGCCCCGGCUAACUACGUGCCAGCAGCCGCGGUAAUACGUAGGGGGCGAGCGUUGUCCGGAAUGAUUGGGCGUAAAGGGCGCGUAGGCGGCCCGUUAAGUCUGGAGUGAAAGUCCUGCUUUCAAGGUGGGAAUUGCUUUGGAUACUGAUGGGCUGGAGUGCAGGAGAGGAAAGCGGAAUUACCGGUGUAGCGGUGAAAUGCGUAGAGAUCGGUAGGAACACCAGUGGCGAAGGCGGCUUUCUGGACUGAAACUGACGCUGAGGCGCGAAAGCGUGGGGAGCAAACAGGA
rnacentral:rRNA from 1 species